UACGAAGGGGGCUAGCGUUGCUCGGAAUCACUGGGCGUAAAGGGUGCGUAGGCGGGUCUUUAAGUCAGGGGUGAAAUCCUGGAGCUCAACUCCAGAACUGCCUUCGAUACUGGCGAUCUCGAGUCCGGGAGAGGUGAGUGGAACUGCGAGUGUAGAGGUGAAAUUCGUAGAUAUUCGCAAGAACACCAGUGGCGAAGGCGGCUCACUGGCCCGGUACUGACGCUGAGGUGCGAAAGCGUGGGGAGCAAACAGG
rnacentral:rRNA from 1 species